rnacentral:lncRNA from 1 species
CUCAUUUCACUCAUUUUUCUCACACCAAAAGCAAGAGCUUUUACAAACUAAAGAAAGAGUUUCCAAGAGAGAAAAAAAGAGGGAGGAAAACUAUUUUUCUAGAAGUUUAAGAAGUGUUUUCAAACAUUUUUCAUAAAAGUUUUGGGGUGCUAUCAAGGAGUGUCUUCAAGCAUCAAUUCUCAACGAUUUUCAAACAUCCGAGGAGUGCAUUUCUUUUAACGUCCAAGUUUCAUCGAAAUUUUCAAUCCAAGUUUUCAAAAUUUCAAAAGUAUCAAUCAAAGGUAGGUAGAGGUGCAAUGUGUUUAAUCGUGUUAAGUUAUAAGUUUCGAUUCAUGUUAAUGUUUGUAUAUCAAAUGGUACUCCGGUACGGCAUAUCCCUCUAUGUUAAUGGUUGUAUGUCAAAUGGCACUCCGAUACGGCAUACCCCUUUAUGUUGAAGAAAUGUUCAUAUGUCAAAUGGUGCCAUCGGGUACGGCAUACCCAUUCAUGUCAAAUGGUGCCUCCGGGUACGGCAUGUAUGAAAAGUUAUAAUGUUAAUGUUUUGAAAUGUAUAGCUUGAUCACGAAUGCACCUAUGACACCUAUUGAGUUUUUCAACUCACGGGUUUAAUCUCAUCUCUACAAAUUAAAGGAAUUCUACCUAGGGCAUGGAUGGAGAAGAAGAUGGAGAGUGAUGCAACGAGCCCAUGAAAAUCCGGUGAAUAAGUGAUUUGGAUUUAUUUUUAUGAAAUGCUUUCCAAUAUUAUUUCUUUAAAAUUUUGAAUAACGCAGAAUGCGAUAACAAGUUAAGUUUUCUUCAAAUAAAUUACAUUUUGUUGUUUUGAAAAAUGAUUCAAUGUUUUUCUUUAAAGUAUUUGAAGUAUUGUUAUUUAAAUUAUUAUUCGAAAAUGUAAGAUUCAGCUAAAACGUAUACACUUGUUACUAAACCACCGGUUAAACUAAGUAAAGUAGGUAGCGUUCCGGUCCACUAGGGGUCGGGGUGUUACAACAGAUCUAAUGGGACUGGUCACGGAUCAUUGCCAAAAAAGAAGAAAAAAGAAAAUGGUAUUCGCCGGAAAGAUUAACGAUCACCAAAACCAUCGUGGGGAGGUUGUCGGAAUUAUCGUCGAAGCGGUCACUGGUGUUAGAUAAAUUGCCGGAGUAUUCAUCGCAGCCGUCGUUGGAGGUGGGGGUGGGGUCGACGGAGAAAGAGAAGAGUUUGAUGUGAUAGGUGGGGGGUUGGAGGUGGAUGGGGUAAGUAGAUUAAUUAUUCUAUAUUAUAAUUAAUUAUUUAAUAUAUUUAAUUACACUUGAUUUUUGAAAAAAUUUAAAAGUUAGUUAGUUUUAAAAUGUGAUUUUUAAAUGGAGGAUUUAUGUGGUGUUCCCUUGUAAUAGGUGUCGAUAUAUACUCUUCGCCUAAAAAAGUCUUAGUUUGCUAUUUUGUCAAUAAAUUUAAUUAUAUUGAGUAAAGGAAGGACAACACUAUUGGGUUAUUUCCUUUUAUGAUAACGAAAGUUCAUUGAGAUUUUAACUGUAAUGAUGAAUAUAAAUACAAGAAGAUUGAAUAAAAUAGGAGUCCAACCCAUUUUUAAAUAGAAUAAAAACAGUUUUUUUGUCCUACAGCCAAAUUUCAUCAACACUCCGACCCGAGUCGUUCGUGGUUCGAUCAAGCUAAAAUUUGGAGGAGAGGAUCACAAGACAUAAAGCUACAAUCUGAACGGUGGAGAUCCAAUUUCGUGUUAGGGAACAUUGGUUACUGUGCGUUUACAAGAACCAAAUUUUUUUUUUAGCAUAUUUUUCCUAUUUUCAUAUUGUUUUGUCGAGAUUGUUGUUAUCUUGAAGAAAUAUAAGUUGUGACUAAAGAAGACUUGGUGUACCCAUUAUUUGAUUUAUAGUGGAG